UAUUUUGCAUGUAAAUUAUUGAAAUCAUUCUGUGAAAACAUAACAUCAUAACCUAAUUUUUUUUCUUUUAUUUUCUAAACAAUAAUUGAGAUAAUAUUUUUUCAUUUUUAUCAGUUGUAUUUUACGUACAAUGAUUUCGAUUUUGAUACCUAUUUACAUUUUUCGAAACUGGAUUUGUGAUUUUGUGUUAAAUAAAAGUUUAAUAAUUCAUGUCGAUUGGAAGUAUACCGUCACUACUAAAUAACUCAUCUACAUUAGUUUCAAAAUUACAGUAAUUUGAAUUGAAAAAUUGUGUCAUUAAUUUUGUCAUGAAGUAUUUUUCAUUAUAAUUAGUGAUAAGUGCUUAUUGUAAUUACAAAUAAAAUAACGAUUUUUAAGCCGAGUGGUUAUAGUGUUUAUAAAAAAGCUAAUGACAAUGUUACUUUAAUUAUACGUAUUCAAAUCGUUAUCAAAUUAUCAAUAUUUUAGUUUAGAGGAUUAUAGAACUAAAAACAAUUGUCAAAUAACAGUAUUUUGUAUUGUACAAAAUCCAGGCACGUAUUGGAAACAUGAUGUUAGUGUAUGUAAUAUUAUCAACAAGAAUACGUUCUAUUCUUUUCAAAUAACCCUUGGUAUAACCUGAAUCUUCAACAUCUGAAAAGUUAGAAGGACUUAUGGUAAUUUAAGAAAAGAAGAAAGUUGAAAUAAGGUUACCAAGAGAUUAGAAAGGAUUUAAACGGAAAGAUUAACAAAGAAAUAAAGAAAGUUGGGUAUAAUACGGAUCAUAACAUCUGAAUACUCAUUUUCGUGUUGUUUCAAAAAAACCUUUGUGUUUCCCAGCUGAUAUUGUACGUUAUCCUUGAAAACGUUUUUCAAAAUACUAGCCGAUGAAUUUUUGCAAUCGCCCUUGUAAGAAGGUUUUAUAUUUUUACCGAGAUAUCGAAACCUAUCGACGAAUUCUAUGUAAUUGUAUCUAAUGGGGUAACCUGCUUGGCGGAUUUUGGCAGUUUCCAUCAUUCCCGAAUAGCGAAGCUGUCUUGUACACAACAGUUUAUCAAAUUCCUGUCAAAAAAAUGAACUGUUCAAUCGAAAAUGUCCGCACAUCUCUUUGUAAACAGUUACCUGCGGUUUUUUGUUGUGAUUCGGUUUGAUGCAUCUCACGAAAAACGGAUGGCAAGUUUCUAAGGUUUUCAUUAAUUGAUCCAAAGACGUUCGAAAUUGUGACGACAGUGUUUUCUUCAAGUUCGUGUCUAAUUCUUUUUUAAAUAAAUUUUUAAACAUCGGGUUUUGAGAUUUUAACAUGAGUUUAAGUAAAUCGUGACUGAAAGAGUCUCUAUUCUUUUCCAAAAAUCCUAUAACGAAAAUUGAACCCGCUUUAAAUAAUUAAUUUUUUCAAAAUAAAUAAAACCAACGGAAAUGUACAGAUGUAUGUAAAACAACACAAAAACUACAGAAAAAAAAAACAAAUUAAUUUUUCGAAAUACACAAAAAUAGAAUAAGAGGUGUGAUAAACAAGUUGGGCAUUCAGCUUUAAAAAUGUCUUUCAUCUGUCGUUUUCAGGAAGAGCCAGAAGUCACACGGUGCUAAAUCUGCUAAAUAAGACGAAUGUAAACAGACAAGCGGACUCUUAGCAAUUAAUAACUCCAAAUCAAAAGCGAAUUAUCUUAACAAAAUGACAGUUUAUAAUUAUUCCAUUUGGAACAAAUAUUCUGCGAUGGUUUUACAGAAAAAUCAACCAUCAUUCAUUAAUAUGAGGAGAUGAAACGUAGCCGUAUAACCACGGUAAUCGUUCAGAAUGUCUAAAUAACGCAGUUACAUCAGAAAAUCGUGUUGGAAAACCUCAUAGUUGAAUUAAGACAUCACAAAGCAUCAUAUUUCACCAUUACCGUGCCACCAUAUUCGCCAGAUCUAGCUCUCACGUGCUAUUGGUGACUUUUAGACCUGAAAAAAUGUUAUAAAACCGUCUCAUGGAUGUCUUUAUACGUUUUACAUCAAUUUUUGAGCAUGGAAACGCUAUAAAGAAGAAGAAACAUCAUAUUUCACCAAUAUCGCGCCACCAUAUUUGCCAGAUCUAGCUCUCAGGUACUAUUGGUGACUUUUAUACCUGAAAAAAUGCUAUAAAACCGUCUCAUGGAUGUUUUUAUACGUUUUACAUCAAUAUUUGAGCAUGGGAACGCUAUAAAGAAGAAGAAACAUCAUAUUUCACCAAUAUCGCGCCACCACAUUCGCCAGAUCUAGCUCUCAGGUACUAUUGGUGACUUUUAUACCUGAAAAUAUGCUAUAAUGGAAGAAAUAUUAAACAUACGAAGGAAUCAUCGUUGAAAUCAAAUCCUAUAUUUAGACCAAAGGGAUAUUGUUGCAUAAAAAUGGUUAUCACUUUCGAAGGAAACUAUCCUAUUGAAAAACUUGUGUAUAAAUAAAUACUCACCCUCGACGUCGUAGAACACCUCCCCAGCAAAAUGUUUGAUACCAAAUGCUGGCGUCAUUUCACUUUUCGGUUUGGAAUAAUUAGAAUGAUUUCCAUGUUGUUUGUGCAACUUGGUCAAAAACGAAAAAUCGGUCCCUUUCGGAAACUUGGAUUCUUCAUCCAUCAACGAGAAAAUAUUCAACGGUUUCAUACCGAUAAGAUCCAAAAUGGUCUGGUUAUCAUUAAAGGUUAUGUUCGCCCAACUUAUCCCUUCUUUGUUAUAAUACUCCUGCUCUAAUUUGAAUAUAUGUCUGACGAAAAACUGUUGAAGAUUCUCGUUGGCGUAAUUAAUACACGUUUGUUCGAAGCUGUUUAUAUUAAAAUUCUCGAAACCGAAUAUAUCCAGCACGCCUAUGCUCGCUUUACUUAUCUUUUUAUUCAGAGAUAUCACGCUGUUGAUUUUAUCUACUAUGAAGACAAAUAAUUGACCGUAAAUUCCUUUUACGAAUGCGUGACGCGAAUCCGAAGCCUGCUCUUUGGUCAGGUUUGCGGUAAUUUGUUCGCCUUGGGCGUAGAUUGAUCUCUUGGUCAAAGCUUCGUUCAAAUCAUAUUUAUUUACACCUAAAAACACAUACUACACUCAUAUUUUCGAGACGCAUCGUAUAAUUUUUGUAUUUUGUAACGUGUCUCGAUUCAAUUUCAAAGUGCUAAACUCUUUAAAAAUCUAUAAUGUACGUUUUUCAUUUACGAGUAUAACGCCAUUUUGCUAUAUAGUCAUGACGUCAGUUGAUAAACUAUAAACAAAUCCAAUAAUUUAUUUUAUUUUCCAUUUAAUAAACUUAACGAUAUAAAUUAGGACAUCCUGUAUACAUUAUUUGAUAUUAAUCAAAAAGUUUGAAAGUUUUUUUUUUAAAAAUAACACUGUAUUUAUAUCAAAUUGAACUCUGUACAUCUGUUGAUAAUCAAAACAAAAAUGUUCCCGCGCAUUUGUACUGGAUUCAAAUUUUACUAAACAUUGAAACAAUUGUUGGUUAUUUAAGAAAAAUUUUAUACUUUUUAUUAACAAUAAACCUUAAUCAAUUAAUUUUUGAUAAAAAUUAGUCGUUAUUAAGUAGAAUUAACCUUAGAUAACAAUCUACUUUUCUUUUGACAUCGAAAAUCACGUGUCACUAGAUGGCGCUCAAAAUGUAUUCUAUAGAGGUGGGUAACAUUAUAAUCUGUAAUGCUGUUUAGUUUUAUUAUAUGUUUUUGAGAA